AAAUCCCUAAUAAAAUACCAAACCUACCCAAUACCUCCUCCCACAUAUCAACCUAUCCCAAAUUACCAAACACUAUCGCCUCCUUACCAAGAUCCUCCACCUACUUACCAAUCAUCUCCACCUCCCACAUAUCAACCUACCUCACCGAGAUAUUCCCAACCCGCGCAUGUCUAUCAAGCCUACAACACUCAACCCUCUCAUUAUCAAACACCUCCCGUUCGUCAAAACUUUCCCAGGCCUCGACCAAACUUCGAACGCAGACCUCCCAAACAAU
rnacentral:lncRNA from 1 species